AAAAUCCUGAACCAGAGAGUGUGGCAGAUUACAGAUGACUGCAAAUUCAUUGAUAUUCCUCCUGUUGAGAGAGCCCUGAGUCACCAUUUAAGAAGUCCGACUACCCUGCUGAAGAGAUCACAUGGAGGGGCUCUGAGACUACAGCCUGAGAGCUGUUCCCACCAAGGUGUCAGGCUUGUGACUGAAGCCAUCUUGGAUGUUCCAGACUGGCCCAGGCCUCCAGACCUGGGCUGAAUUACAUCACCAGCUUUCCUGAUUCUUCAGCUUGCAGAUGGCAGAUUAGGGAACUUCUCAGUCUCCAUAAUCAUGUCAGCUGGGGCUCUGCUCUGCAUCUUCCUCCCUCUGGAACCCUAGCUGAGUGAGUGGUCACUAUCUGGAACAUUGCUG
rnacentral:lncRNA from 1 species